UACGGAGGGGGCUAGCGUUGUUCGGAAUUACUGGGCGUAAAGCGCACGUAGGCGGCUCUGUAAGUUAGAGGUGAAAGCCCGGGGCUCAACUCCGGAAUUGCCUUUAAGACUGCAUCGCUCGAAUUGUGGAGAGGUAAGUGGAAUUCCGAGUGUAGAGGUGAAAUUCGUAGAUAUUGGGAAGAACACCGGUGGCGAAGGCGGCUCACUGGCUCAUUACUGACGCUCAGGCGCGACAGCGUGGGGAUCAAACAGG
rnacentral:rRNA from 1 species